AACGAACGCUGGCGGCAUGCCUAACACAUGCAAGUCGAACGAGACCUUCGGGUCUAGUGGCGCACGGGUGCGUAACGCGUGGGAACCUGCCUUUAGGUUCGGAAUAACUCAGAGAAAUUUGAGCUAAUACCGGAUGAUGUCUUCGGACCAAAGAUUUAUCGCCUUUAGAUGGGCCCGCGUUGGAUUAGCUAGUUGGUGGGGUAAAGGCCUACCAAGGCGACGAUCCAUAGCUGGUCUGAGAGGAUGAUCAGCCACACUGGGACUGAGACACGGCCCAGACUCCUACGGGAGGCAGCAGUGGGGAAUCUUGGACAAUGGGCGAAAGCCUGAUCCAGCAAUGCCGCGUGAGUGAUGAAGGCCUUAGGGUUGUAAAGCUCUUUUACCCGAGAUGAUAAUGACAGUAUCGGGAGAAUAAGCUCCGGCUAACUCCGUG
rnacentral:rRNA from 1 species